AUAAUGAACAUCUAUCUACAUGACUGAUAUUGAAUCAUUUCAUUUUUCACUAUCUUGAGACUUCCAUUAGCCAAAGCUCAUGCCAUUUUAAAAAUAAAAACUGACAGGGUAUUUGGCAUAGCUAGAGUCUUGCUCUGUUGCUCUGUAAAGAAGUAAAAGAAAGUGGUUAAGCUCUAUUAUGAAACUCAAAGCAAAGAGUUUUUGCUUCUUAGGAAAGAAUAUAAUAUGUUGCAUGUAAUUUUUACUCAGAAGAGUAUAACAUUAUUGACCGAGGAGAAUGUAAGUUUGACAUUUACUUACAUUACUCUAUUAUUCUGGCUAUUACUUCAUGAAUAGUCAAGUAUGGAAGGUGUAUUUUCAUUUAGAAAUCGAAUUUCUUUUUAUAGAAGAAACAGAUUUUUGUAGGACUUUAUAAUUUGAGACAUAUAAAAUAAAUAUACUAACUUUAUCAUUCAUUGAAACUUGUAGCUAUUCCUCAUAUAGAUCUAUACUUUAGAAUUUACACUGUGAAAACAACAUGGUAGAAGGGAAACAAAAUCAACAUUAUUUUUAUAGAUCUUUCUGAUAUUUCUUCUUGGAAAUCAGACUUUCUUGCUCUUGUAAUUGUUCAAUAAGUAUUAUUGUUUUCUUGUCAAAAGUUUUGCUUUAAGGGCCAAAUUAUUGUGUGGGUGUUAUACUCUGUUAGGUAAAGUUGUAGGAAUUAGCAUACUUUUGUUUUUGAAUGUUGUUGGGUUUACCUUUCACUCUCCCUUUCACUUCUUCCAUUGCUUACUCUUCUUCCUCCUCCUUCUCUAUGUCUUUAUUUCAUUUUGGAAACUAUGGAUGCUGCCAUUGCAUCAUAAAAUAUCAGCAAUAUAUGAAUAAGUUACUUGAUCUCAUGAGAAGUACUUUGGAUUUUAAGCUUUUGUAGAUUUUCUGAUAAUAACAAAAUACAAUGAUUAUCAAUCAUGUAAGUAAGAGUCAGUGUUUUCAGACAGAACAAUAUUGGAACAAAUUAAAGGAUUAGGCCUAUUACUGGGUUUUGAGACUACUGCAUCUUUUUGGUAUUUUGAUUCCAAUUAAGGAGAAUUGGGGGCUCAUGGACUUGUGAGCAUCAUGCAUAAUGAGGCAUAUUUGCUGUUUCUUAGUAUGCUUAUGAACUAAUUGGGUAGAUUCCUAUUAUAGCUACUGUAUUAGUCUGUUCUUGCAUUACUAUAAAGAAAUACCUGAGACUGGAUAAUGUGUAAAGAAAAGAAAUUUAAUUGGCUCAUGGUUCUGCAGGCUGUUCAAGAAGCAUGGCAGUGUCUGCUUCUGGGGAGGCCUCAGGGAGCUUUUACUCAUGGCAGAAGUCAAAACGGGAGCAGGUGUCUUACAUGGCAGAAACAGAAUCAAAAGGGUUAGGAAGGUGCUACACACCAAAAGGGUUAGGAGCUAACUCUCACAAUUGCAGCAAUGUCACCAAGGGGGAUGGUGCUAAGCCAUUAGAAACUGCCCCCAUGAUCCAGUCACCUCCCACCAGCCCCACCUUGAACAUUGGGGUUUACCUUUCAACAUGAGAUUUGGGUGGGAAGCAGAUCCAAACCAUACCAGCCACUUACUGCCUUUAUGCCAACUGGUAACAUAAGAGUUCUAAAGAUUGUAUUAAAAAUAACUUCUUAGAUUUCCUUCUCAUUUUCUAUAAUUUCCAUAGUAAAAUUAUCGGUUUUAGAAACUUCUAAAAAACAAAUUCCAAUUUGUAUCAGUUAUAUUUAUGAUGUCACUGCUCUAUUCUGUCAUAAUUGUUCAUUUUGAUCUCAGCUAAGAAUGGAAGCUGACUGUUUAAAGCUGAUUCAGUUAGUAUCAGAGUCAGCUGCCCUCUAAUGUAUCAUCAUUAGAAGCUUUAAGGUGGAAUAACGAUGGGCAGAUUGGGGGAAUUUAUUGCCCUCAGGCUGGAGUGCAAUGGCAUGAUCUUGGCUCACCGCAACUUCUGCUUACCAGGUUCAAGUGAUUCUCCUGCCUCAGCCUCCCAAGUAGCUGGGAUUACAGGCAUGCGCCACCAUGCAUGCCUGGCUAAUUUUGUAUUGGCUGGAGCUUUUAAAGAUACAGAUGGGCCAAGCUCACAAAUCUACAGGCCGGUGAUUUAGCCUGGGCAGCUCUUCAGGUCUCAGCAGGGCUCACUCCCAGGACUACAGGACAGCUGGCUGUUGGUUUGGGCCUCCUAGGACUGGAGGUUGGCUGGAGGGACUCAGUUCUGCUCCACAUAUCUCCCUCCAGCAGGCCAGCCCUGGCAUGUUCUCACCGUGAAGGCAGAGCUUCUAUUGGAGUACUUGCCUCCAGCUACUUUUUUUUUCCAAGCCUCCAACAUAGCCUUCCCAAGUCUACUUCACAGUUUCUCCACAAGAAUCCAGUCAUUUUCUAUGUAGUAGAGAGAUAGUCUUUUAGAUCCUCUUCUUGGCCAUAGGAAGUCACCAGAGUAGGGAAGGGAAGAAGAGGCGAUGAAGGCCAGCUCCUCUUGGUAAAGUGUGAGCACUACUGGAAAGUACCUACCACAGAGUAGGCAGGAGAGCAAUGUCAAGGGUGAGCAGUCCAGGCUCUAGAGAUAAGUAGACAUGGAUUCCAGUCUGGGCUUCUCCACUCACUGUGGGCAGGUUAUUUAUCCCCUAACCUCAGAUUCCUCAGAAAGGAAAUGAGUUGAUGCUAUUAGUACUGCCUUAAGGCCAUUUUGAAGGUCAGAUACACACAAAGAGCUUAGCACAGCAGCUGGCACACAAUAGGCACUCAAGGAAAUGAUGAUUGGGGUAUACUUAGGUGUAUACAUAAUGUAGGCUUUAAAAGGGAUCCCCUGGCCCAUGGCUUAUACUGCUGACAUCAGGACAAGAACAGGGACAAACAUUUCCCUGACUUCUCUUCACUUCCAGAAGUCCACUGGCAACUUGCCUCAGUCUCCUGUCCCCAUUAUUACCACACUCACUUAAAUCCUAGACCUGGACAUUGCGUUAUCCCCACGGCUGUGGAGCUCUCAGUUCCCUAGGCCGACUGGUUCCACAGGGACCAAGCCUAGAGGUACCCCUGCUAGUUUGUCAGUGGUCCCUAGUGGCCAGAUGUCCAAGGCCCUGGGCACUGAGUGCUCUGGAAGCCAUGGACCCUUGAAGCAAGGCCUGUGCUGGGCACUGCAGGAGACAGAAGCCAGGUCACUGCUUUCGGCUUUGGUCCUGUGGGGCCAGAUGCACCCAUGGCUCUUAGGCAGGAGCAGGAGGUUUCGGGCAAACUUCCAUGUGGCUGCUGGGCUUGAUUUCGCAGAGGGAGCACUCUGGCCAGGUGGGUGGGGCAGAGUGGGACCAGGGUGCCUUUGCUCAGGCUCCAACUGAGGCAGGUGGCCUGGCUGGCUGCUUGUAUCGCAGCAGCCUCUUUCCUCAGCAUCUCUGUGGUGGUGACAUCAGUGAUCCUGGUACCUGGGAUGAUGCCUGGCAGCCAGUUUGGGGUGAGGAGUGGCUUCCAGGAUGCAGGCGUGGAGUGCUCCAGCCAAAUGUCACCAUUGCCAUGGCCCCAUGUGCUCUGAGUGGCCUGGGCCGUCCUCAUAGAUGGCCUGUUAGUGCCCCUGGUGCCCCAGGCUCAGGCAGAGGGCCCAGUGCACAGGCACUCUAUCUCAUAGGGAAUUAAUGAAACAGCAACAAAAUAGACAAAUUAUUCCACUGGUUCUUUAUAUAGGUUCCUUCCACAGCUUUGGAGAGUGAGGGUGUCUCCUCAUCCUCAUUAACACAGGACAUCAUUCAUGUUGAAUAGUUUUGACAUUAUGUACACCAGGAAUGGGUUUAGUGAAUAGGGAGAUCCCCAGGAUAGCCAGGAUGGUUACAAAAAUGGCAAAGUUCGGAUGGUGUGCUUCACUUAUUAAUCUAGGACAGUCAGCAGCCACCAACCCGUUUUCUGUUUUAUGGGUGAACCCUGUGAUCCUAUAAAUAAGGUUGGUCACAAGUCCAGUGAGACCCUAGAGCCCCCUGUUGACUAACUCUUUUAUAGUAGAUAGCAAGGAGGAAAAUAGCUAUAAUUGGAGGCCCAAGAUAAUGGGCAAUUUAUUCUGUGUAAUAGAAGAGUGGCCCAUUUGGCGAUAUCUGUGCAAAUAGGACCCAUAUGAUGCAAAUGAGCCUCAUCUGGAUGAGAAAUAACCUAGAGAGUCCUCCUCAUCACUAUCCUUUCCAGAAUCCACUUGCUGUCCCUGGCAGCUGAUAAUAUAUUGUCAGUGCCUUCUUCAUUUUCAGAUCUGGUUUCCACAUGAUCCUUCCAGGUAGCUAGAGAGUCCUCCCCAUCACUUAUACUCUCCAGAAUCCACUCAGGGUCACAUGAAGUCAUUGACAUGUAGGAACAAUCUUCCUCAUUUCUGCUGAGAGAUCCUCAGGAGGAGCUGAUGAGUCUUUGUUGUUACAGCUGCUCUCAUAGAUGAUGUCCAGGGGCUAAUCAGACUCAUCGAUUCUUGAGGCUGCUAUGGUCUUUCAUGGGACCUUCUUCAAUGCCUAGUAAUGAGGAACCUGUUUCAAUAUAUCCUCAACAGGAAGGUUUUUGCUUGCUUUUGAGUCUACCGUGACCACAAAUGAAAUCUCCUCCUGUGACCUGUCACCUGGAGGCUCCUCCACCAGGUCUUCAGUGUGAGCUUCAGUGAAUUUUUUCCCAGGGUGUAUUCUGUUAUAUGACUAGAUGUGGAUUUUUUUUACCCACUGCUUGGGGUGGGCAGCAGAUCUGGACCACUAAAAACAUGUUCUCAUAUUCUCAAGGCAAAAUUCUGAAGAAAUCAUAAAACUAUACGCACUGUAAAAUGUUCUUUGCAGUGGCUCACAUCUGAUGCAGUCUUUUAACAUUAUCCACAAUGAGGAGGUAUUUCUGGAGGCUCACACCCUUUCAAUAACAGAGGCACAGUAUUCUGCUGGGUACAGAAGUCUUCAGCAGUAGGAGUUCUUGCACUCAUUUGUCUUCUGAGAGUGUUGUUGAAAAUUUGAAUAUGUCUUUUUGGCUCUCAAGGUCAGUGAGCUGUGAUCAGCUCCCAAGUGUUAAAGAACCCAUGGUUGCAGAAUUCCUGGGUAAGUUGAGUGUACCUUCAGUCUGUGGCUGGUUUUUAUUUGUGACUGCAGAAUUUCUUUCAUGGCAACCAGAGUUUUGGAAACUUCUGUAGCCUUUUCUGCUUUUUUGUUUUGGUUUGGUUUGGUUUUUGGUUAGAAAUGCCUUUCAUUUCUGGAACAGCAAUGCUCUCCAGGGCUUGCACAGGUCAUAAAAAUUCAUGGAAUCGUGUCGUUGCAGCAACAUGGUGGACUAUGUAAGAAAAAUACCCUGAAGAAGCAGUACAGAAGCUCCCUUCUCAGUAGUCAGGGACAGGGUCAGGGAUAGGAGCUGUUUUUUUCCCCAGAAUAGGUCCCCAAGUCAUCCCAAAGCUGCAUGGCACCCUCAGGCAGAUCCUGAGGAGGCCUACACAAGCUAUUUAUAAGUAUAUAGUGAUCACUAGGAUAAUUCAUAGAACUUUUGGGAAAGAAAUUUAAGACCUUUCUCCCACCAUUUCAGCAGGAUAAAUUCCAACUGGAUUAGAAAAUGAAAUGUUAAUAAUGCAAAUAAAUACAUAUUUAUAUCUGUAUAUAAAAUACAGUUGAUAUUUGACUGGUGGAUAAAGGACUUUCUAAGCAUAAAAGUAAAAAAAGUCAUAGAAAUGCUGUAGCAGUUUGAGACUCUUUAUGCAGGAAAGGGCAUCAAUAUGUGCAUAGAUGAAUCUGUAUCUAAUUUUAAACAAUUCCCAAAGUGCCUGUUUUCUUUUCUUUGAAUAUCACUGGAGAAAUAGUUCCUCUUGCUAUGUCUUUCUUUAGGCAAGAUUUUUUACUAAUUGAUGUGUAGUCUGAAUCCUGGCUAAAUAUAAACCUUUUCUUUUUUAUACCUGUUCUUAGUGAAAAUGAAACUGUGACUUUUUUUUAUUCCAUUGGUUGGUCAAAAACUACAAAGAACUCUUCUAAGUUUCUUCUCUGGCUGAACAAACAGUGGUCCCAUUGGCCUUUCUGGGAACUCCAGGCCCUCUCAAGAGCCUUCGUAUUUCAUUUCUUUUCAAAGCUCUCAAAAGGAAUAGCUUGCUUUUGACAUUGUACAUGUCAGUGGAAAGAUAAGGUCUACUUUGCAAAAAUGAAACAGUUAUGUUUCUAAUGAUUUGGAAAUAGAAAUCUGAUGUAGUUAUUGGAUAUUGGGAAAGAGGGUGACAAAAAAACCCAAAGCACUUAACAAUUCUGAUUAAUUCACUUAACCUCUAAUAAUGUAGUACACUAUACAUUUUCAUUAAUUUUGAUUGUAUUUAUGUGUAUCAUAGGAACAGUUGGGUUUCCUUGAGUGAUAAAUUAUUUAUUCACUUAUUCCACUUCAAGUCAGCUAAAUAAUUGUUUCCUUGGUUGAAAAAGUCUCACAGAUUGAUCGCUCAAGUUAUUUGGUUGGAUUGUUUAUGCUCAUUUAUUUAUUUAUUCUUAUUUCACCAAUGAAAAUAUCACUAAGUUCCUUGGUUUGUUGACCUGAUUGUACCUACUUUGACAAAUCACUCCCUUUCUGGACCCAGUUUUCUCAUUAAGUGGCAGUGAUACCUGUCAUAAUUAAAGAUAUGAAAACAUGAAAGUUAAAUUAUUGGGUAAUAAUGUUCCUCCUAUCUUUUUUUUAUCUUGAAAAAUAAAAAAAUUGAGAUAAUGCAUUAGUUAAGAUGAAAUAAUCACAUAUUGAUAUCCAGCCAAUUCUUCUCUCAAGUGAUAGGAAGCUUUUUAUGUUAAACUACUUAUGAUAGACUUUAAUGAUCUAUAAUUAGAGAAAGAACUGUUAUAUCAUUUGGAUAUGCAAGAAACAAGUUACCUUUGGGGCUAUAGAGGCCCUUGUCCUCUUCUCAAAAGAAGGAAGAAUAAGCAUUUUGAUGAUGAUGUUGAGAUUGUAGAAAUGAUGAAGGUGAAAAAGUUAUUCUAAGCUAUGUUUAGCAAAAUGAAAUGAACCCAAAUAAUAAAACAGUUACAACAUUGAAUCUCUUUGGUUAAAAAAAAAAAAAAAAAAAAAGAAUGCUAAUAUCCUUCAGAAGUUCUUAAACCAGAACCUAAAAAAAAAAGAAAACUUUUAAAAAAUCAGUAAUAGUUUAUGAUCUUGAAGGGCUUCAAAGUAUUUGAUGAAGAUGUCUCUUGAACUUAUCUAUAGGCCUUCUUGUGUAUUUAAAAGCUAAGUUCUCUUGUAUUAAUUUUUUUCCCCCUGAAUUCUGUAGUAUACCUUUGUCAGUAAAAAACCUAAUAUUUCAGAUUUGGAUAA